CUCAUGCCCCCAGAGAAUGCUGAUUUCCCCUGAGUGACCCCCCCCUCCCCCCAGGGUAGUCCCCAGAGCAGCCAUCAGAACUGCUCUGGUUUCUCAAAAAGGGGAAACGCACCACUGGAGGAGCGUUCACAGAGGCCUUGGAAGUGGGGAAUUCUGGGGCGUGGGAGCCCCAAGAUGCUGUCCACUGUGGUCUGAGGGCCAGCCCGGGGUGUGGAUGAGCAGCAGCUGCAUGAGUGAUGGGCGCACAGGGGAAGGAGUCAAGGCCCUGACCACACUGCUUUGGAUGAUCAGGACCGGCUGCCUGCUGGGCAUCAGGAAGUGGCCCCCCCUCCACCGCCCCUCGCUUCCUUAGCUUGUUUUAAGUUUUCUAAAUGUCUGAAAUCCCUCCACGUACACAGGGAGAUCUGUGGGGCAAAAAAGAAGUGAUUGCAGCCUGAUACAAUGGUGAACACCUUCAAUGCCAGCACCCAGGGAGGCUGAGGCAGGCAGAUCUCAAGUCUGAGCCCAGCCCACGCAGCUUAAGAGACUAAGACUCUGUCUCAAAGGAGAUGGAGGGAGGGUGAGGUAAAGGAGGGAAGGGAACAUAAAAAGAAUUACAAUGUGUCAGGUGCAUGGACCACCUCCCCAUGAUGAAUAUAAUCAAUAUGUGCUGCAAACAUGCUCUAAAAAAUAAAAAAAUUUAAAAAAGGGACUGGGGCUGCAGCUCAGUGCAAAGACCCUGGAUUCAACCCCCAGACCAUAAAAAACAAACCAACAACAAUACCAAAAAAAAAAAAAUCCAAAAAGGCCAUGAUUGCAGUGUGGCCAGUGGCCAGGACAGGCUGGCUGGGCACCCGAGCCCCUGGACAGCCAGAAACAGCUUUUCAGAGGUGCGGGGGUCUAGGGUGUGCGAAUGUGGUUUAGGGCUGUAAUAACUGCAUUAGUCCACUGAUUGGCUUAGCACCGUUCUGGGAGUCGGUAAUGGGAAGCCCCCUCCUGGGUGUGGGUGGCACCACCCAAAAGGACGGUAGCCUGGAUGGGAUAAAAAGUGAAAGGGGGUCUCCAUGCUGCUGCUUCACUGCCUCCUGCCUGCUGUGCCAUGGCCUGUUUCUCCUCUGCGAUGCCGCUCUGCCUUGCGUUCCUGUUGGGCCCUGUCCUGCUGGAGGUGGGUCCUGGCCACUCCCUACUGCUCUGGGCAGUGUGGCAGAGCAGGAGGGCUGGUCAGGAGUGGGCUCUGGAGGUGGGGGCCCAGCUGGGAACCAGCAGCUCAGGGACGAGAGUCGCCCCUUACAGGGGCCGUGCUAGCAAAUGUUGGAGUGUUUGUUUUGCCUGUUCAGAUGUGGUAAUCACGUCAGAUAUUGCUGGCUUUGUACCAAUGAUGAGGAACAGCCCUACCAUAAAUUCCAUAGUCCUGGGAGUGUCAGGGUCUGAAUUCAAGGGCUUGUCCUACAUAUUCUGGGAGCCACCUCUAGGUAUGUGUGGCAAGCCCCACCUGGAGGCCAAGGUUCCCCUUUCAAUGCUGUGACCUCUGUGACCUUUGAGAGGUCCGAGUCCGGUCUGAGCAUCACAGCCUGAGGUUCGGUCACCUGCCUGGGCCCCACCCCUGGGCCAUGACUGGUCUAGCAUUGGCCAGGGCUGGUCUUGCCCUGCGUCCUGUGGGAUGAGGGUCCUGCGGUGCCAUCCCCAGGGUCUGAUUUGCUGUCACUGCACAAGUUGGGGCCUUGGUCUGGCGGUGCAGGACACCCCAACUCGGGCCCUCUGCAGGCCCCUGGCCGGCUCACCUGGGGAGGGAGGCUUCGGCUGGGCUGGGAGGGGCCAUCCAUCUUCCAGCGGCCUGGACAUGCUGAAUGGGCCAUUUGUGUUUUAUGAACAGCUCAGUAUCGCAGGAAUGUGGCCCAGCCUGUGGCGGAUGACAAGGAGCUGGAGCUGGGAAAUCGCAAUAAAACACCCGUCCCGGGAAGCAGGCCCAUGAAUCACGGGCAAAGGUGAGCCGUGGGCUGUGAGGGUCACCACAGAGCACAGCAGAGAGGACGGGUGUGUUAAGGAAAAGACACUGGUCCUUCAGGGCAUGGUAGGUCUCCUGGGGACCUACCCAGAGGGGCAAAGCAGACCUGGGAAGAGUGUGCUACUCGUGUGUUUAUCUCAGAAUCUCUCUGAUGUGUGAUGUGCACAGCCUGAGUCUGGGCUUUGGAAGAGAAAUGAUCGUGGGUUAAGUGAAGCUUGUGCUUCCCAGGGUGUGUGCGUGUACUCACGUGUGCACAUGUAUGUGUGUUGCAUGUGUGUGUGCACUGGUGGAAGCGGAGCGGUGGUGAGCAGAGCCCCACGGUGACAGCUGGCCCCAGCCCGGUCUGCAGGUGCAGCACCAGCUUCUCCCUGUUGCCUGUUACCCGUUUCCUAAGUGAGGAGACUGAGCCCUUAAGAGGGGAGAUGACCACUUGCUGGAUGAAGAGCCUGGACGCAGCCACGCAUGGGGUCCUCACUGUUCUGUCACACACCACUCCUCGUGCCCCAGUUCCUUCCCCUGCGGGCCGCAGGAGGUGACACAGUGCUGAGGGGUAGGGGAGGAGCAGUGAGGGAGGUCUGGGGACCCGUCCUUUCUCGCCUCGGGGGGCACCGUGCCUGGGCACGGCAGGGAUGUGCCCUGAUCGCUCUUCUCACGCUGAGUGCUGUCCUCCCUGCUGCUUCAUGGCACACACAGGUGGCCUGGUUACCUGGUGACAGUGGAAGCACCGGCCUAGCAGAGGGGCGAG
rnacentral:lncRNA from 1 species